NNNNNNNNNNNNNNNNNNGGGAGCAUGCUGCAACAUUUAGAGCACAUGAAGACUAUGCUUAUGGACUUCAGAGAGAAAAAUAUCACAUUUACUGAAAUUCAGGAAGCAUUUAUAAUUCUCUCUUCACUUGAUGAGUCAUAUGACCAGCUUGUAGCGAACAUGGAGGUACUACCACAAGCUGAACUAACAGUAUUAAAUGUGACCAGUAGACUUCUGGAGGAGGAGCAGAAAAGGAAAGACAACCAGGAACUGCGUGACUCCAAAACCUCUGUGAGAAACAAGCCAAGUGUAAUUGGGGAGGAGGAGGUCACAGCUGCAAAUAUCCAGCCUGGGAGGAGAUGUUUUUCCUGUGGGUCCAGACAGCAUCUUAUCAAAGAAUGCAAAUUUAAAAAGAAGAAAAGAAAACAAUCACGACGUGAGAAAGUAGCAACAAACCUAACAGAAACUAUUUACAACAACCACCAUGAAGCUGAAUGGGUAGUAGACUCAGGGGCAACAGCUAACAUGUGCAGAGAUAAAAGGCAGAUAUCCAAUUUUAAGGCUGUGUUUGAUCAGCAAGUAAUGUUGGCUGAUGGAGUGAGUGCAAAAGUCAUGGGUAAAGGUAAAGUAAAAUUACCAUGUUUAAAGGUGCCAAUAGAGGUGUUAUACGUGCCAAAGUUAAAACACAAUUUAUUGUCAGUUAGCCAAUUAGCAAAAGAGGGGUUUGUUAGUACAUUCUAUAGAAAUAAGUGUGUUAUAAAUGGUGAAAAGAAUGAAAAGCUAACAUGUUAUGUAAGAAAUAACCUAUAUAGGCUAAGUAGUGCUAAGGCAAACAAUGUGUAUGAGAAUGUAAAACCUCAUAAUGAAUGUAUACAUUUGUGGCAUUUGAGAUUGGGACAUGCAAAUUAUAAGGCAUUACGUAAAACAAUUGAGAAUUCAACUGGAGUGAAUUUAAGGCAAUGUGAGAAAUACAUUAAUUGCCAAGCCUGUCAAGAAGCAAAAAGUAAAUGUGCUCCUGUAAAGAAGCAUAGUAACAUAGAAGUUGGCAACAUUCUAGAUUUAGUGUCAAUAGAUGUAAUAGGCCCCC
rnacentral:lncRNA from 1 species